rnacentral:rRNA from 1 species
AUUGAACGCUGGCGGCAGGCCUAACACAUGCAAGUCGAGCGGAUGAAGGGAGCUUGCUCCUGGAUUUAGCGGCGGACGGGUGAGGAAUACGCAGGAAUCUACCUAGUAGUGGGGGAUAACGUUCCGAAAGGAACGCUAAUACCGCAUACGACCUACGGGUGAAAGCAGGGGACCUUCGGGCCUUGCGCUAUUAGAUGAGCCUGCGUCGGAUUAGCUUGUUGGUGGGGUAAUGGCCUACCAAGGCGACGAUCUCUAGCUGGUCUGAGAGGACGAUCAGCCACACUGGGACUGAGACACGGCCCAGACUCCUACGGGAGGCAGCAGUGGGGAAUAUUGGACAAUGGACGAAAGCCUGAUCCAGCAAUGCCGCGUGUGUGAAGAAGGCCUGAGGGUUGUAAAGCACUUUCAAUCGUGAAGAAAGUUGCAGGCUAAUACCCUGUGACCUUGACGUUAACGAUACAAGAAGCACCGGCUAACUCCGUGCCAG